rfam:Macaca mulatta chromosome 1, whole genome shotgun sequence.
UCCCUGGUGGUCUAGUGGCUAGGAUUCGGUGCUUUCACCGCCGCGGCCCGGGUUCAAUUCCCGGUCAGGGAA